rnacentral:rRNA from 1 species
GACGAACGCUGGCGGCGUGCCUAAUACAUGCAAGUAGAACGCUGAAGAGAGGAGCUUGCUCUUCUUGGAUGAGUUGCGAACGGGUGAGUAACGCGUAGGUAACCUGCCUUGUAGCGGGGGAUAACUAUUGGAAACGAUAGCUAAUACCGCAUAACAAUGGAUGACCCAUGUCAUUUAUUUGAAAGGGGCAAAUGCUCCACUACAAGAUGGACCUGCGUUGUAUUAGCUAGUAGGUGAGGUAACGGCUCACCUAGGCGACGAUACAUAGCCGACCUGAGAGGGUGAUCGGCCACACUGGGACUGAGACACGGCCCAGACUCCUACGGGAGGCAGCAGUAGGGAAUCGUCGGCAAUGGGGGCAACCCUGACCGAGCAACGCCGCGUGAGUGAAGAAGGUUUUCGGAUCGUAAAGCUCUGUUGUAAGUCAAGAACGAGUGUGAGAGUGGAAAGUUCACACUGUGACGGUAGCUUACCAGAAAUGGACGGCUAACUACGUG